ACAAGAAAAGGAGAUUAGGGUACAGAUACACACACAUGGAAGAAUGCAUGAAGUCCCUGGGAGAAGGCAGUCAUUUACAAGCCAAGGGAAAGGCCUCAGAAGAAACCAGUCCUGCCGACAGCAUAAUCUCUCAUCCUCAGAAUGGGGAGCAAAUACAUCUGUGUUGUUUCAGCCACUCAGUUGGUGAUCUCUAUUAUAGCAGUCCUUAGCAAACCGAUUUAGACAGAGCUUUGGAGGCCAACCAGAAGAAGCUGUAGGAAUUGGCACAGAUCCAGAGUAUGGACAAGGACUUACACUUCUGCUGAAGGCAUAGGAGAAAGAGCAUUAUCUAAAAAGCAACCAAGACUUCAGGGGAUGAGAACCCACUAAGUAUUACAGUCCACGUGUCAGUCGCGUUUCUCAUCGUGAUUAACACUCCAGCCAUUGAUUUUCUCUUCAGUGUCUUGUGAGCAAGGCUACUGUGAAUCUUUCCUCAGGAGUACUGAUGGAGUCACGUUUCUGAGCCUACAGAACUGAGGGCAAGACCUGAGAAUGGUGAUGUCAAAAUGCCAACCAGCGAGACCUCUUGGUGGGCAGGUGCUUACUUGUGCUCCUCCUGUGCUUGGACAUCAGACUCCACGUUCUUCAGCCUUUGGGCUCUGGGACUUGCACCAGCAGCUUCCCAAGGGCUCUCAGGCCUUAAGCCACAGACCGGCGACUGUACUGUCAGCUUCCCUGGUUUUGAGGCUUUUGGACUUGGACUGAGCCACUACUGGCGUCUCUCUUUCCCAGCUUGCAGACAGUCUGUCAUGGGACUUUGCCUUGUAAUUGUGUGAGCCAAUUCUUCCUAAUAAACUUCCUUUUAUAUA
rnacentral:lncRNA from 1 species